GUCAGCACGGAGGACGCUCUCGCAACAAGAAAGGUGGGGGUCGGUCAGCACGGAGGACGCUCUCGCAACAGGAAAGGUGGGGGUCGGUCAGCACGGAGGACGCUCUCGCAACAGGAAAGGUGGGGGUCGGUCAGCACGGGGGAUGCUCCUAUAUCCACAUCAAAGCUUAUUCAGACGUCCAGCUGUCUCACUCUCUUAUCUUACUUUCGGAGAAUCAUACAUUUGCUCAACUUUUUUCCUCAGUGAAAAAUACUGUGAGGGAAGGAAACCCGAUGGCAAACAGCAUUUGUUAUCAAUACUGUAUCAUAGAGCUGUUUGACAGCUGUCAACCCAGGUG
rnacentral:lncRNA from 1 species